GAGAGCUUGCUCUCAUGAAAGUGGCGCACGGGUGAGUAACGCGUGGAUAACCUGCCCUGGUAUCUGGGAUAACAUCUCGAAAGGGGUGCUAAUACCGGAUAAGCCUACGGACUCCUCGGAGUCUGCAGGAAAAGGAGGCCUCUAUUUAUAAGCUUCCGUAUCAUGAUGGGUCCGCGUACCAUUAGCUAGUUGGUGGGGUAAUGGCCUACCAAGGCGACGAUGGUUAGCUGGUCUGAGAGGAUGAUCAGCCACACUGGAACUGAGACACGGUCCAGACUCCUACGGGAGGCAGCAGUGGGGAAUUUUGCGCAAUGGGGGAAACCCUGACGCAGCAACGCCGCGUGAGUGAUGAAGGCUUUCGGGUCGUAAAGCUCUGUCAGAGGGGAAGAAAUGAAACGUGCUAAUAUCACGUUUUCCUGACGGUACCCUCAAAGGAAGCACCGGCUAACUCCGUGCCAGCAGCCGCGGUAAUAC
rnacentral:rRNA from 2 species